AUUGAACGCUGGCGGCAGGCCUAACACAUGCCAGUCGAACGGUAACAGGAAGAAGCUUGCUUCUUUGCUGACGAGUGGCGGACGGGUGAGUAAUGUCUGGGAAACUGCCUGAUGGAGGGGGAUAACUACUGGAAACGGUAGCUAAUACCGCAUAACGUCGCAAGACCAAAGAGGGGGACCUUCGGGCCUCUUGCCAUCGGAUGUGCCCAGAUGGGAUUAGCUUGUUGGUGGGGUAACGGCUCACCAAGGCGACGAUCCCUAGCUGGUCUGAGAGGAUGACCAGCCACACUGGAACUGAGACACGGUCCAGACUCCUACGGGAGGCAGCAGUGGGGAAUAUUGCACAAUGGGCGCAAGCCUGAUGCAGCCAUGCCGCGUGUAUGAAGAAGGCCUUCGGGUUGUAGAGUACUUUCAGCGGGGAGGAAGGGAGUAAAGUUAAUACCUUUGCUCAUUGACGUUACCCGCAGAAGAAGCACCGGCUAACUCCGU
rnacentral:rRNA from 1 species